ensembl:snRNA U6 U6 spliceosomal RNA
GUGCUAGCUUCAGCAGCACAGAUAUUAAAACUGGAAUUAUACAGAGGGGGUUAGAAUAGCCCUUGCACAAGAAUAACAUGCAAAUUCAUGAAGCAUUCCAUAUUUAA